GAUAAGAGUCUUGAAUUUUCCUGCCUGGGCUUGCUUUGAACCACAGUCCUCAGAUUUUAGCCUCCUGAGAGUAGCUAGUGUUACAAUUGUGAGCCACCAGUACCCAGCUAGGAGGCUAUUAUCUUAAAGUUGCUCUACUAGCUAUAAUCUAUCCAAGGAGAUAUUGUGUAAGCAAUCUUUAUUUUCUUUUUUUUUUUUUUUUUUUUUUGGCCAGUCCUGGGCCUUGGACUCAGGG